GAUGAACGCUAGGCGGCAGGCUUAACACAUGCAAGUCGAGGGGCAGCGCGGAGUAGCAAUACUUUGGCGGCGACCGGCGAAAGGGUGAGUAACGCGUAUCCAACCUGCCCAUUACUCAGGUAUAGCCCAGUGAAAACUGGAUUAAUCCCUGAUGCGGUCUCGUGCAGACAUCUAAGCGAGACCAAAGUUUUCAACGGUAAUGGAUGGGGAUGCGUCUGAUUAGCUUGUUGGCGGGGUAACGGCCCACCAAGGCGACGAUCAGUAGGGGUUCUGAGAGGAAGGUCCCCCACAUUGGAACUGAGACACGGUCCAAACUCC
rnacentral:rRNA from 1 species